AUUGAACGCUGGCGGCAUGCCUUACACAUGCAAGUCGAACGGUAACAGGUUAAGCUGACGAGUGGCGAGCGGGUGAGUAAUGUAUCGGAACGUGCCCAGUCGGGGGGGAUAACUGCUCGAAAGAGCAGCUAAUACCGCAUACGACCUGAGGGUGAAAGCGGGGGAUCGCAAGACCUCGCGCGAUUGGAGCGGCCGAUAUCAGAUUAGGUAGUUGGUGAGGUAAAGGCUCACCAAGCCGACGAUCUGUAGCUGGUCUGAGAGGACGACCAGCCACACUGGGACUGAGACACGGCCCAGACUCCUACGGGAGGCAGCAGUGGGGAAUUUUGGACAAUGGGCGCAAGCCUGAUCCAGCCAUGCCGCGUGCGGGAAGAAGGCCUUCGGGUUGUAAACCGCUUUUGUCAGGGAAGAAAAGGUUCUGGCUAAUACCUGGGACUCAUGACGGUACCUGAAGAAUAAGCACCGGCUAACUACGUG
rnacentral:rRNA from 1 species